CGGGAUGGGUGGAGGACCAGACUGCAAACCAGCUGACCCUUGUCUUCCAGUCUCCUUCCCUGGUAGGGGAGUCUCACUGUGGAAGCCUGAAUUAUGCUCUCCUGAAACAUUGCUCUGGGGGAGACAAGGGGAAGAUUGUGGUCCAUAAUAAAUAUGGAAGAAGUGAAAAAAUUUUUGCAAAUCACCAUUUUCCAAAUUCUGAUGAAGUGAUUGAUUCAGACAAUGAUCAUCAAUGAUUGAAACUGUUAGCUAAAAGGCAAACAGAGAUUUAUGAUGGAGGAAUCGGGCUGUCAUCACUGAGCCCACCAUCCCCAUCUUAGUAGGAUGGCUGGACAAUGCACACCUCCUGGUAGGUGUGAUAUGAAGCACACAAUAACACCAAUGGAAGACUCUUGCCAAGAAAGUCAAACUUGAAUUUAAUCCAAACUCUACAGCAGCAGUGUCCAAUAGAACUCCUAUGAUUCUGAAAUGUUUGUAUCCAUAUUGUGUAGUAAGGCAGCCCAAGCCAUGUGUGACUACUGAGCACUUUAAUGGAGGCUAGUACAACUGGAUUUUAUUAAAAUUAAAACUGAAUUUUACAUUUCAUUUUAUUUUAAUUAAUUUAAAUAGCUCUUUUUGGCUAGUGGCUACAGUAUUGGACAGUGUGGUCCUAGAGCUAACUUUCAUUUGCAGGAAAUCCAGGGGAUAGAAGAACAAGCUAGAGGACACCAUAAGG
rnacentral:lncRNA from 10 species